rnacentral:rRNA from 1 species
UAGGGAAUCUUCGGCAAUGGACGGAAGUCUGACCGAGCAACGCCGCGUGAGUGAAGAAGGUUUUCGGAUCGUAAAGCUCUGUUGUAAGAGAAGAACGAGUGUGAGAGUGGAAAGUUCACACUGUGACGGUAUCUUACCAGAAAGGGACGGCUAACUACGUGCCAGCAGCCGCGGUAAUACGUAGGUCCCGAGCGUUGUCCGGAUUUAUUGGGCGUAAAGCGAGCGCAGGCGGUUAGAUAAGUCUGAAGUUAAAGGCUGUGGCUUAACCAUAGUAGGCUUUGGAAACUGUUUAACUUGAGUGCGAGAGGGGAGAGUGGAAUUCCAUGUGUAGCGGUGAAAUGCGUAGAUAUAUGGAGGAACACCGGUGGCGAGAGCGGCUCUCUGGCUUGUAACUGACGCUGAGGCUCGAAAGCGUGGGGAGCAAACAGGAUUAGAUACCCUGGUAGUCCACGCUGUAAACGAUGAGUGCUAGGUGUUAGACCCUUUCCGGGGUUUAGUGCCGUAGCUAACGCAUUAAGCACUCCGCCUGGGGAGUACGACCGCAAGGUU